rnacentral:tRNA from 1 species
GGGCCUGUAGCUUAGCCCGGUUAGAGCGCUCGACUGAUAAUCGAGAGAUCGUGGGUCCAAAUCCCACCAGGCCCA